rnacentral:misc_RNA from 1 species
GAUGAAGAACGUAGCGAAAUGCGAUAAGUAAUGCGAAUUGCAGAAUUCCGUGAGUCAUCGAAUCUUUGAACGCACAUUGCGCCCUCUGGUAUUCCGGAGGGCAUGCCUGUCUGAGCGUCAUUGUCAACCCUCAAGCUCAGCUUGCUGUUGGGUCCCCGUCGUUGCUUUAACGGCGGACCCGAAAGGUAAUGGCAGAGUCCGUGAGACCCUAGACGCAGCGAGCUUCUAGCACGCGUCUGGACGUUUUUCGGGCUCGGUCUUAACUAGAUGAUAACUUCCGAUUGACCUCAGAUCAGGUAGGGAUACCCGCUGAACUUAAGCAUAUCUAAGCGGAGGA